rnacentral:rRNA from 1 species
UACGUAGGGUGCGAGCGUUGUCCGGAAUUACUGGGCGUAAAGAGCUCGUAGGUGGUUUGUCGCGUUGUUCGUGAAAACUCACAACUCAAUUGUGGGCGUGCGGGCGAUACGGGCAGACUGGAGUACUGCAGGGGAGACUGGAAUUCCUGGUGUAGCGGUGGAAUGCGCAGAUAUCAGGAGGAACACCGGUGGUGAAGGCGGGUCUCUGGGCAGUAACUGACGCUGAGGAGCGAAAGCGUGGGGAGCGAACAGG